GGCAGAGUGCCAGAGUGGUUAAUGGGUGUGACUCGAAUUUCGAAUCGCUAUCACAUGGCUUCGGCCGCAUGAGUUCAAAUCUCAUCUCUGUCG
rnacentral:tRNA from 2 species